rnacentral:sRNA from 1 species
AGUUGAUGCUAUUGGGCCCAUCUCAAGCUGAUCUUGGCACCUCUCAUGCUCUGCUCUCUUCAACCAGACCUCUACAUUCCAUUUUGGAAGAAGACUAAAAAUGUUAAUCUUCCUUCUGGCAUGGAUCUUGGAAUGCAAACUUGCUGGGAUCUCCGAGUUCCAGGCUUCCCGUGCAGCCGGUGUGGAGAGCCAAGAUAUGUUUUGUUUGGCAUAAAGCAUUCCAAGGGUCAGUGGGAUUGGGCUCAACUAUUGAGCAUAGGACAAGGGCAGCCCCAUCCUGACUGUGACUCUUCCCACAA